CUUAGACUACGUCCAAGUUCCUAGAAAGGGCUGGAUCUGUUUAGAAUAUUAAUUGCAGCUUGUGCAUUUUCUAAAAUCCAUCAGGUCUGAAGAGUUUACUUUAAUAGUACCAUUAUCAUUAAAUUUCACUGGAAUAAAAAAAAAAAGAAACACUUAAAGUAAGUGUUGCUACCUAAGUUUCACAAUUAUGUGCACUUUUUUUUUGAGUCACCUUAACUGCAUAGCCAAAGAGUAUGUGAACUAGGCAGACUCCACUAUAAUUAAGCAUAAUUGCACAUUCCAUCUUGCUUGUGAAGUUCUAAGGCUUUGACUCAGUUUCAAAAUGUUGUUUGUUUGUGGGGUUUUUUGUGUAGAGAUUUUUAUUAAUUUCUCACCACCAAUAAACAAUACAUCCUUAAACAAGAUUUCCUUUAUUUACUAGACUUUUCACAUAUAAAGGGACAGCCAUUAGCCAUUCUCACUUCAAUAACUGCAAGGUACCACUCAUGGGUUAAUACAACCUGUCAUCUAAAAUAGUAGAAAUACUCUAUAAAGCAUCCAUCAGUUUUGAAGCUAGAAAUUAUACAAAUGGUUUGCUGUAAAUUUAAAAGUUUAAAAUAUUUUUUUAAGCUUAGGGGGAAAUAUAGGCAUAAAACUGAGUAAGGUUCUUGGUUUUAUUGACAUCUGUACUUAUGUUCUUACCAAGAACAGGUCAAACAAUCAUUUCUUGGAAUUAGACUGUGGUGAGUUCAGAUAAAGAAAGCAGACCAUGCAGCUCAAAAUGCUAACCAGUAACAAUUACUUCCAGAAUCUGUCUCCCAGAAGCAAGCACUGGUGUUUAAAGCCAUGAUUACUUCAGCUCUGAGUUACUUGUACCACAGUGUGCAUUGUUCUAUUUCUGAGCAGCUCUGGGAAGCUGAGUGAGGAGGCCUAUAAAACUACACUCCAUGGAUUUCGUGUGAGUCUAAAUGUAAACAACAGAACUUACAGCUAAUUGCCUUUAAGAUAAAGCUGACUUAAGCAAUUGAGAUAACAGAAUCCUACAAUACUCUGGAUACAACAUACUAAAAAUGUGAAUUAAUAAGUUAGCUGAUAUUGAGCUCCAGAUGUUUCUUACUCUGGCAAUGUUCCUUAAGUGAUGAUAAGCAGAUUUACAUACUUAACUAAUAUGCUUAUUUAAAGAAAAUUUCCAGAUCCAGACUAGCAUCCAGAUUUUUUACUUGGCUUCAGAUCAAAAUACAUACUAUCAAGAAGGAUGGCAUCCAGGAAAACCUUUUCAACAUCUGCUUAGAACUAAACAACAGAUAUUUGAUUUUCUGCAAAUUUAAUUUCAGGCAAAAUUUUACUUCAUCCAAUAAUUUUUAUAUCCUCAAGACAGCCUGACCUAGUCAUUUUACAUAUUCAAAUCUCAGAAUGCAGUUCAUACACUGGAAAGACAGCAGUUGCUACAGAGAAACUCUAUUAGUUUGUAGUUCACAUUUAAGAUUGCUAUGAGCAGUUUCACAUAGAGUGAGACAAGAGCUUUUUUGGAAGCAAAGCCCUUCCUUCACCAAUAAUCUCAGUGAACUAAAAAGCAGGUUCAAAAAAUUUUAUAUCUUGUAAUCCAAAACAACUUAAGUUCCAGCAUGAAAACUUAAGCUCUCCUGUUUCCAAAGGCUGAGGAAUAGAAAAUAACUUAAUAUUAUUGAGACAUUGGUGGUGUUCUUUGAAACUCUUAUAAGAAGUGCUUAUUGUCACAUUUAAGACAUGAUAAGAAAAGACCAACUAUCCCAAAUUUCUUCCCAGAGUACAGAAAGUAAAACACAAAUAUACUGGAAUGAACGUGUGUACUCCAGGGCAGAGUAAAAAGAACCAGUCAGGAAAUACAAAAUAUGGACUUCAUUUUCAAAAGAAAUUAUUUUAGAAGAAAAAUGAAAUUAAAAAAAAAAGUUUCCAAAUAAGCUGAGCACUCACAAAAAAAGUCCACCAAAAGCCAAAAUAAUGAUUAUAUGAACACAAAAGAGGUAAAUGUUAAACAAUGCAUUGUGCCAGUAGACAUGCAGACUGCUUGAGGAAUGGCACCAAGGAUUAGGAGGGAUGAGAGUGAAAACUACCCAGGUUUUUUUUGUAGUUCCUUGGUGUAUGAGAGAACAGGACCUACCAGGGGCUUGGCACAGAGGAAAGCCCUCUGGAUAUGGCUCAACACAUUACAGGAUUGGGCUCUGGUACCUCACACCCAGCUCUCAACCUGCUUUGCAAAGCAUGUAAGUGCAGGAAAACUGCUAAUCUGAAUAACCCUGCAGGCCCAUGGCAGACUCAGAAACAUAAGAAGAACCUGCUGCACACACUGAUCUUCUCAUUUAACAAGAAAAUGUACUUCUACACUUCAUUUGCUGUGGGGAAAAAAUGACAAAAAAUGUGACUAGACUAUUCCCUAUUCUGAACUCAUGAAAAGAAAAUAAAAGGAAAACAACAACUUGUUAUUUCAUUUAGUAAGUGUGAUUUUAAUUUUGUUUUGUUUUGUUUUUUACUAACUGGCAUAUGAGACUUUGGAAUACCUGGCAUUAACAGUACUGCUAUCAGAUGAAGUCAGAUUUUCCCACUGAUAUUUGUUUUGCCACUGAGUCCUUUCAUUCCAUUGGCUUCCACCCUGAAGACCAUGGCUUUUUCCUUUUUAACAUCUACACACAGCACUUCUACUUUUGAUUUAGCCUAAGUCCCUUGUCUCCUUGCCUUAUUACUUUACUUCCCCUUUGCUCAACUGCAGAAUUAAUGCUAGAUGAACCUGCCCACAGGGCAUCCAUCCCCACGUGCCUGAGUGGAACAGCAAACACAAACCAGUAGGGAAGUUUGCAAAUGGUUCAAUUAUUACGUGGAUUUCAAAAAGCAGCUUCUGAUAAGAUUAGCUUCUCAAAUGUGUUCCAUGUGGUUUCACUGAGAAGGCAUUGGGGCACAUUGUCUAAAUCUGACCACUGAGUGAUUUGGGCUAAAGCCUGGGCAGAGCACUAGGGCAGGCAGAAACGAGCAGGCAGAAAUCUGUGCUCAUUCUCUUCUUCAUUUUCUCCAAGAUCUAUGUCCUAGAUCCCUGUGAGGUUGCACAAAUCUAUGAGAUUACUGGCUCAUGAGAACACCCUGCUCCAGUUCCUGCCCCAUCCCUUGGCCUCUUCCAUCCAGUAUGGCACCAGCCUCCAAUCCUGGGGGAGAACUCUGCCUGAGGGCUCAGAAGAAAUGCAGCCUGAGGAGUCACAGCAGGAAAAGGUGCUUACAGUGGUGGUCUUCUGCCCUGGAGGAAGGACAGCUGGGAAUCAAGAAUGGGAAACCCAUAAAAGAAACAGCAACACUAUCUUGGAGGAUAAGUGUCAGCAGGUGUAAACAGGAAAAAGGAGACAAGUGGCACCAUUAUAGCACUGCUUUCACUUGAAAGGGGCUACUUUUAGAAAAGAAAGCACUUGCAGCAACUCUUAUUUGAUUGGCAUCAUUGUCUAGUGAAGCUGGCACACCAUCUUGUGAGCAGGCACAAUGCCAUGGGAACAGAUGGGCAUGUGCAUGGGAAGCCAAAAGAUAAUGUACAAGUACCAAAUGUGUGUAGUGGAGGGCAAGAUUCCCAGGCAAGGAACAUCAGAAUGGCAGUUUAUAAGCUUCUGCACCUAUGUUUGAGGGAGAUAACACACACAUUGAAUCUUCACAAUACAUGCAUGGGUAAAACACUCCAGUACAAUGGACUGGGACCCAAGAGUCUGGAAUUCAGUGACUGCUGAAGGAUUAUCAAAUUUGUAACGUCCUGAAGUAAAGGAGCCAUGUCAAACCCCAAAGUGGUACCUUUACAGGUGCAAACUAGGAUACUGUUUCUGGCCUUGACAUCAACCAGGAGGAGAUAACUGCAGACCAGGAAGCAGGGGCUCUAUGGAAGCAUCCUCUCCAAAGUAUUCCUCCCAAGCAAAGCUUUCUCAGACGAAGACUUCAUGUGGACCCUCACAUUUAAUAACAGCUGGACUUAAUGCCAUGAAUUUGUGUUACAUCGUUGUGAAUCCAUUUUUUAGUUUCCACAACACCUGAAUGAAUUCUACAUGUGGGUCAUUCAUAAAAUGAGUGAGCACUUCCUUUAAUUUCUGUUAAACUUGUCCCUUGACCAGAGUUAUAGGGUAGCAGCAUAGUCCUUAUGUUGCCAGAAAUAACUGCUUCUGAUUCCUCUCUUUUACACUGUUUGUGAAUAUAUGGACUUGUACAAUAGCCCUCUCCUGCAUUAAUUUUUGUAUUUCACAGCUAGCAUUUCAGGCCUCCCAGACUGCCCAAAAUGGACACAAGACAGUUCCUCAGGUCUAGUCAGAAAUCUAGUUUUGUCUAGAAUUUGGCCUUUACUUUUUUUCCUGCCAACAACACCGUCACCACCACUAAUCUGGUAAGCAAUAUUAUGUGGAAUAAAAUAGAAAAAAACAAAUCAGAGACAUGAUAAAUAUUCAUGAGUGUUACCAGUCAAUUCAGGCUUGGCAGAAUUACAUAUCUUCCUUAAAUGGGUUUGAAUGACAAGAAGAAACAGAUCACAUCAAACAAUGCCAUGUUGCACUUCAGUAUGAAACCACAUCUUUUGGACCCCCAUAGCACAUGCACUUCAUCAAGGUCUAAAGCACAGUAGUAGAAUAUAAAAAUAAUAAUGGACUGAGAUGAGUUAUUCCAAGAUGUGACAAUGGGUAUUUCUCAGCAUCCUUUCCUGUCAGCCCACUACAUACCAAUAAAAUGAAAUUAAAAGAUCCAUUCAUAUUCUCAAUUCAUUGUUAAAUAUUCUCUUAACUGGAGCCUUUUUUCCCCCUCUAUUAGGAACCAAAGGGUAAACAAGGAUGUGACUAUAAUCUGUUUCCAUACCAGCAUGGGGAUUUUUGAUACUUCUAAGAGUUAUACCUCUGGACACACCUGAGUAUUUUUUGUAGGACUGAGUACUUGGAAACACUCCUGGUGGGCUGUUACCACACACUCCUCAAUCCUGCUGGGUAACCACUGGCAUCAACCACCAGGGUUUGGAAUGCAUGAAAAUCAACCUGAGGCUCCAUCACUUCCCCCUUUCAGAAGCCCAAGAAAGUGUCUGGACCAGAAGGAAUGGAUUCCAUCACCAUUGCCUUGUCCCACUGGAGGAAUGGAUGUGCCAAAGUAAAGUAGAUGGUGCCAGUAAGAGACUGGGAGCAUGAGGAUCAGAAGCCUAAGAAGCAGUAGGACUUUCAAAAAAGAAGAGUGGGGGACUGAAACCAGCCUGUAUGGACAUAGCAAAAUGGAAACAUCUCCUCUGCUAGUCCUGCAAGUGUUUUAUAAACCAACAGUCUGGGGGCUAACAACAUUUCUGCACUGGAACUGCUAAAAAGAACAUAGUGCAUUUGACACAUGCUGAUGGACCUGAUUACCUUCUAUGAAGAGCUGAAAACAUACCAGAAACUGUUCCCAAAAAGAGGCUGGCAUGGAGAGUUCUAGACUGGAUCAGCCAUGAAACAGCUUAUAGAGUAUAAAAUCUGAAUCUCAAGACAUUUUCAAUUCUGCCUUACCCUCCAGCAUUCAAAAGACUAAACACACACACAGGCCCCUGCUAGCUGGUGACUGCAUCUAUCAUCAGGCCCUCUGCUGUUUUGGGUGGUUUUAACAUCAGCAAAAUUGGUGUUUCCAGCCUAAUCAAAGCUUUUUAUCUUUCACUUUAGAAAGAAACAACAUUGCAUGGUAUCACUAAAGAGAACAGUCCUUCCCUCUCCCACCCCACAUCAAAAAAAAAGUUGAAAGCACUGCUGCCCUUGCUUGGUCCUGAAGCAAGGUUUUCCUGACUCAGGUUCCAUCCUUAAUAAGCAGACUAAUGGCUCUCAAGAUGAUUUGCAUUACAGUUAUAGACUGAGUUCACUAUUAGAAUAUUCAUGGAAAAUGCUAUUAUUUUAGAGUUACAGAGAUAUAAUGGGAAUUAGACAAUAAAGAACUGCACAUUCAAGAAUUUCUUCCAACACCAAAGAAGUCACUAUAAGUAGAUACAGAACUAUCAGCACACAUGAGCACUAAAAGAGCUUUGUUAUACAUUUUUAAUUCUGGGAUCUCCAAAUUAGAAGGAUUAUAAAGUUCUUAAAUAGAUACUGAUGUCAUUGUCAAUAAGGGAAGUUGAUCAGGACCACUGCCUCCCAAUAAACUAGUACAACAACUUAACUGAGGCCACAGAAGUCACCUCAUGUGAUAUUCUCACCACAAGGCAAUCCUUUCUGGGACAAUGCAGUCAUGCAAAGACUGAAUUUGCCCCACACAGGUGCCUGUGUCUACAGGCAGCUAACAAAGCCCUCAUAUCCUCCAAGACACGCCUUGAGCUCAUUCCAGAGCUAUGGAGGACUUUCUGUGGAGGGUGUAAACACAAAAGGACAUUUUCCCUGUGGGGUUCUUGCAGCCAGACUGAAGUUGGGUUGGCCAUGCAAGCCAAGGCCCCUCAGCUGCUCGUGGCAUCUUGUCUCUAUCACCCCUGGUACAAACCUCACCUCCUGCCAGCUGUAAAGGACAGCACAGGAUUUAUUCUAUAGCAGAUAUCCAAGAGCUAAAGCUAGGUCAAUCAGAUUAGCAUCCUCAUAACUGUAUUAAAAUCUGUGAAGGUAAUUUCUUCUAUAAGACAGUGGUUUCCUCAAGAAGAAAAUUCACAGGUUCUACAGUCACACUUUUCAGCCAGCCAUGAUAUCCAUUAUAACAGUGCUUAAAUAUUUUUCUGUCCAGAACAGUAUUUGGGACCUUAAAAUAACAUAGUUAAACCUGAUGAAAGAAGGAACUAUGUGUAUGAAUAUCAAUCUAAAGUAGCAGUUUGUGUUUGCAUGCUCAGCGUUAUGAAUUUAAGUGUCACAUAGGAAAUAAUUUGCUUUCUUUUUGUUUCAAUGGGUGACUACAGUGAACACAGACUCACUGAAUACAAAAGAAAACACCUGAAUUCACAAAAUUUGCUCUUCAAACUAAUAAUAAAUUAUUUAAAAGUUCUUUCUGCUGACUCAAGGACUGACAAUAUGUAUUAAAACUCAGUUUAACAUACACCAAAAAAGCCAUGAAUGUCACAUCUUAAAUUCUGUCAUGAUGCUAGAAUUUAAGAUCACUUUAUUUCUGAUCUGGACUGUAAAGAUGAGAAAGAUUUGAGAAACUCCUCAGGACACAGGGAAAUCACCAUCUUUGUUGCUGUAAAAUAGUCAUAGAUAUGUCUUUGGGAGAAAUAUCUCCAUCCAUUUUCAAUCAUGUAAUCAUGUUCAAACCUAUGGGAGAAAGACAAGCUGCUUCUUCCACUUCAUCUGUUGUACAAAAAAAUGCUGCUUUGUCUUUAGAGCUCUGCUGAUGCUGCUUUUAGCAAGCCAGUGCUCCAUUGUUAUUACUGUCUUUUCAUUUGCCUCUAGGGGCUGGAAGGAUGGUGCAGAUGGUAAACAAACAUGCUUUAUGGUCUUGGAGCUUAGACUGAGAAAUUCAGAUUUGCUUUUCAUUUCUGGAAGGCAGCUAAGCACAGAAAUUACUCA